GCUGGCGGCGUGCUUAACACAUGCAAGUCGAGCGAUGAAGCUUCCUUCGGGGAGUGGAUUAGCGGCGGACGGGUGAGUAACACGUGGGUAACCUGCCUCAAAGUGGGGGAUAGCCUUCCGAAAGGAAGAUUAAUACCGCAUAAUAUAAGAGAAUCGCAUGAUUUUCUUAUCAAAGAUUUAUUGCUUUGAGAUGGACCCGCGGCGCAUUAGCUAGUUGGUAAGGUAACGGCUUACCAAGGCAACGAUGCGUAGCCGACCUGAGAGGGUGAUCGGCCACCAUUGGAACUGAGACACGGUCCAGACUCCUACGGGGAGGCAGCAGUGGGGAAUAUUGCGCAAUGGGGGAAACCCUGACGCAGCAACGCCGUCGUGGGUGAUGAAGGUCUUCGGAUUGUAAAGCCCUGUUUUCUAGGACGAUAAUGACGGUACUAGAGGAGGAAGCCACGGCUAACUACGUGCCAGCAGCCGCGGUAAUACGUAGGUGGCGAGCGUUGUCCGGAUUUACUGGGCGUAAAGGGUGCGUAGGCGGAUGUUUAAGUGGGAUGUGAAAUCCCCGGGCUUAACCUGGGGGCUGCAUUCCAAACUGGAUAUCUAGAGUGCAGGAGAGGAAAGCGGAAUUCCUAGUGUAGCGGUGAAAUGCGUAGAGAUUAGGAAGAACACCAGUGBCGAAGGCGGCUUUCUGGACUGUAACUGACGCUGAGGCACGAAAGCGUGGGUAGCAMACAGGAUUAGAUACCCUGGUAGNCCACGCCGUAAACGAUGGAUACUAGGUGUAGGGGGUAUCAACUCCCCCUGUGCCGCAGUUAACACAAUAAGUAUCCCGCCUGGGGAGUNCGGUCGCAAGAUUAAAACUCAAAGGAAUUGACGGGGGCCCGCACAAGCAGCGGAGCAUGUGGUUUAAUUCGAAGCAACGCGAAGAACCUUACCUGGACUUGACAUCCCUUGCAUAGCCUAGAGAUAGGUGAAGCCCUUCGGGGCAAGGAGACAGGUGGUGCAUGGUUGUCGUCAGCUCGUGUCGUGAGAUGUUAGGUUAAGUCCUGCAACGAGCGCAACCCUUGUUAUUAGUUGCUACCAUUAAGUUGAGCACUCUAAUGGAGACUGCCUGGGUAACCAGGAGGAAGGUGGGGAUGACGUCAAAUCAUCAUGCCCCUUAUGUCCAGGGCUACACACGUGCUACAAUGGUAGGUACAAUAAGACGCAAGACCGUGAGGUGGAGCAAAACUUAUAAAACCUAUCUCAGUUCGGAUUGUAGGCUGCAACUCGCCUACAUGAAGCUGGAGUUGCUAGUAAUCGCGAAUCAGAAUGUCGCGGUGAAUACGUUCCCGGGCCUUGUACACACCGCCCGUCACACCAUGAGAGCUGGUAACACCCGAAGUCCGUGAGGUAACCGUAAGGAGCCAGCGGCCGAAGGUGGGAUUAGUGAUUGGGGUGAAGUCGUAACAAGGU
rnacentral:rRNA from 1 species